GACUGGCGAUUGUGGAGGCUGAACCUCCAGUGAAAACCCUGAAGGAGCACUGGCCAGCUCUUUUUACAGAGAGACAAGUGUUUGCUGAGUUCAACAGAAUAGCUACAACAAACCUGGAGAAUUACUUUUUUGGUGCUGUUGACAGCUACACACCACGCAUUGUCACCAUCUUCAAGUCCAAGAAAGGAAGUGUUGGGGGGAAACUGGCUGAGAUUGUGCAGCAAAUUGAUUCAAGGAAACCAGAUGUGACAGCAGUGCGUACCCUUGUUCUUCAAGGCAUCCCUGUUCUGCUUGGUGACGACCCCAGUAACUUCUACAACACCUCAUUUGAUUCUGACAGUGAGGAGGCAUGGGCCCAGGUAUCUGUUGGGUUGCUGACUAUCAUCAGUGAAGAUGUACCUCUCUC